AACGAACGCUGGCGGCAGGCCUAACACAUGCAAGUCGAGCGAGGACUUCGGUUCUAGCGGCGGACGGGUGAGUAACGCGUGGGAAUGUGCCCUUCUCUACGGAAUAGCCCUGGGAAACUGGGAGUAAUACCGUAUACGCCCUAUUGGGGAAAGAUUUAUCGGAGAAGGAUCAGCCCGCGUUGGAUUAGGUAGUUGGUGGGGUAAUGGCCUACCAAGCCGACGAUCCAUAGCUGGUUUGAGAGGAUGAUCAGCCACACUGGGACAGAGACACGGCCCAGACUCCUACGGGAAGCAGCAGUGGGGAAUCUUAGACAAUGGGGGCAACCCUGAUCUAGCCAUGCCGCGUGAGUGAUGAAGGCCUUAGGGUUGUAAAGCUCUUUCAGCUGGGAAGAUAAUGACGGUACCAGCAGAAGAAGCCCCGGCUAACUCCGUG
rnacentral:rRNA from 1 species